rnacentral:rRNA from 1 species
AGAGUUUGAUCAUGGCUCAGAUUGAACGCUGGCGGCACGCCUAACACAUGCAAGUCGAGCGGUAACAGGCGGGGUAGCAAUACCGCGUGCUGACGAGCGGCGGACGGGUGAGGAACACGUAGGGACCUGCCCUUAAGAGUGGGACAACCAAGGGAAACUUUGGCUAAUACCACAUGGCCUUGGGAAAGGAAAGCUGCCGGUCAAACGGUGGCGCUUAAGGAGGGGCCUGCGUCCGAUUAGCUAGUUGGUGGGGUAAAGGCCCACCAAGGCGAGGAUCGGUAACUGGUCUGAGAGGACGGCCAGUCACACUGGGACUGAGACACGGCCCAGACUCCUACGGGAGGCAGCAGUGGGGAAUCUUGGACAAUGGGGGCAACCCUGAUCCAGCGAUGCCGCGUGGGUGAAGAAGGCCUUCGGGUUGUAAAGCCCUUUAGGUUGGGACGAAGGGCGCUGCCGGACAAUGGCAGCGUUUUGACGGUACUAACAGAAUAAGCACCGGCAAACUCUGUGCCAGCAGCCGCGGUAAUACAGAGGGUGCAAGCGUUAAUCGGAGUUACUGGGCGUAAAGGGCGCGUAGGCGGUGGUACGGGUGUGGUGUGAAAGCCCUGGGCUUAACCUAGGAAGUGCACCGCAAACUGUGCGACUGGAGUAGGUGAGAGGGCGGCGGAAUUUCCGGUGUAGCGGUGAAAUGCGUAGAGAUCGGAAGGAACGUCAAUGGCGAAGGCAGCCGCCUGGCACCAUACUGACGCUGAGGCGCGAGAGCGUGGGGAGCGAACAGGAUUAGAUACCCUAGUAGUCC